rnacentral:rRNA from 1 species
AGAUUGAACGCUGGCGGCAUGCUUUACACAUGCAAGUCGAACGGCAGCGCGGGGCAACCUGGCGGCGAGUGGCGAACGGGUGAGUAAUAUAUCGGAACGUACCCAAGAGUGGGGGAUAACGUAGCGAAAGUUACGCUAAUACCGCAUACGAUCUAAGGAUGAAAGCAGGGGACCGCAAGGCCUUGUGCUCCUGGAGCGGCCGAUAUCUGAUUAGCUAGUUGGUAAGGUAAAGGCCUACCAAGGCUACGAUCAGUAGCUGGUCUGAGAGGACGACCAGCCACACUGGAACUGAGACACGGUCCAGACUCCGUACGGGAGCAGCAGGUGGGUAAUUUGGACAAGUGGGCGCAAGCCUGAUCCAGCAAUGCCGCGUGAGUGAAGAGGUCCGUUAGGUUGUAAAGCUUCUUUGUACGAAGGGAAGAACGGUAGGA